UCUCUUAACUCCAUCUCACCCAGAAGUUCUGUGCGUCCAUGAAUCCACCACAGACUACCCAGUAAAUAUACCACUUUAUGGUUAAAGGAA